CCCUUAGAUGUUCUGGGCCGCACGCGCGCUACACUGACGAAUGCAACGAGCUUAUAACCUUGGCCGAAAGGUCUGGGUAAUCUCCAAAUUUCGUCGUGAUGGGGAUAGAUUAUUGCAAUUAUUAAUCUUCAACGAGGAAUGCCUAGUAAGCGCAAGUCAUCAGCUUGCAUUGAUUACAUCCCUGCCCUUUGUACACACCGCCCGUCGCUCCUACCGAUUGAGCGGUCCGGUGAAGACUCAGGAGAUGGGCGCGUGCUUGGUUCGCCAACUGCGCUGCCUGCCAAAUUUGUCUAAACCUUAUCGCUUAGAGGAAGGAGAAGUCGUAACA
rnacentral:rRNA from 1 species